UGGGGAAUAUUGCGCAAUGGACGAAAGUCUGACGCAGCCACGCCGCGUGGGCGAGGAAGGCCUUAGGGUCGUAAACCCCUGCCAGAUGGGACGAACCGUGGGCCGGCUCACACCCGGCCUGCCUGACGGUACCACCCGAGGAAGCCCCGCCCAACUCCGUGCCAGCAGCCGCGGUAAUACGGAGGGAGCAAGCGUUGUUCGGAAUUACUGGGCGUAAAGGGCGCGUAGGCGGCCUGAUCAGUCGGGUGUGAAAUGCCGGGGCUCAACUCCGUGCACUGCAUUCGAUACUGUCUGGCUGGAGAAAGGUAGAGGCGAGCGGAAUUCCCGGUGUAGCGGUGGAAUGCGUAGAUAUCGGGAAGAACACCUGUGGCGAAGGCGGCUCGCUGGGCCUUUUCUGACGCUGAAGCGCGAAAGCGUGGGGAGCAAACAGGAUUAGAUACCCCCGUAGUCC
rnacentral:rRNA from 1 species